UGGGCAACCUGCCCUCAGCACUGGGAUAACCCCGGGAAACCGGGGCUAAUACCGGAUACGACCUUCCCUCGCAUGGGGGUUGGUGGAAAGUUCUUCGGCUGAGGAUGGGCCCGCGGCCUAUCAGCUUGUUGGUGAGGUAACGGCUCACCAAGGCUUCGACGGGUAGCCGGCCUGAGAGGGCGACCGGCCACACUGGGACUGAGAUACGGCCCAGACUCCGUACGGGAGGCA
rnacentral:rRNA from 1 species